UACGUAGGGGGCAAGCGUUGUCCGGAUUUAUUGGGCGUAAAGAGCUCGUAGGCGGUUUGUCGCGUCUGCUGUGAAAACUCGGGGCUUAACCCCGGGCCUGCAGUGGGUACGGGCAGACUAGAGUGCGGUAGGGGAGACUGGAAUUCCUGGUGUAGCGGUGAAAUGCGCAGGAUAUCAGGAGGAACACCGGUGGCGAAGGCGGCUUCCUGGACACCAACUGACGCUGAGACGCGAAAGCGUGGGGAGCAAACAGG
rnacentral:rRNA from 1 species